rnacentral:rRNA from 1 species
UGUUAGGGGGGCCUGUGAGUUAGUUCUCGUUGGUGACCAGCGGAGGGAUCAUUACCGAGUUUACAACUCCCAAACCCCUGUGAACAUACCUUAAUGUUGCCUCGGCGGAUCAGCCCGCGCCCCGUAAAACGGGACGGCCCGCCAGAGGACCCAAACUCUAAUGUUUCUUAUUGUAACUUCUGAGUAAAACAAACAAAUAAAUCAAAACUUUCAACAACGGAUCUCUUGGUUCUGGCAUCGAUGAAGAACGCAGCAAAAUGCGAUAAGUAAUGUGAAUUGCAGAAUUCAGUGAAUCAUCGAAUCUUUGAACGCACAUUGCGCCCGCUGGUAUUCCGGCGGGCAUGCCUGUUCGAGCGUCAUUUCAACCCUCAAGCCCCCGGGUUUGGUGUUGGGGAUCGGCUCUGCCUUCUGGCGGUGCCGCCCCCGAAAUACAUUGGCGGUCUCGCUGCAGCCUCCAUUGCGUAGUAGCUAACACCUCGCAACUGGAACGCGGCGCGGCCAUGCCGUAAAACCCCAACUUCUGAAUGUUGACCUCGGAUCAGGUAGGAAUACCCGCUGAACUUAAGCAUAUCAAUAGGCCGGGAGGGAAG